GGGGCGUGGCCUGUGCUCAGCGUUUAGCGGGUCUCGAGCCAGGUCACAUGAGGCGCGCGCACAAACGGUUAUAUAUUAGUAUUUAUAUAUCUAUUUUCUUUUCUGCGACUUAAUAGUAAUAAUAAAACACACACACACACACACACACACAUCUCGGACAUGGCGGAAGAGCAGAGUGUUGACUGUCUGCUUGUUUCUCUGAAUAAAGUUACAGAUCCUAUGAACCAGUCAGAGAGAUGGGACUGCAUUCAGGAGUUCUACCAACAUGUUAAUGCACAUCCUGAUGGUCCCCAGAUUGCAACACGGCUCUUGGCUCAUAAGAUCCAGUCUCCUCAGGAGAAGGAAGCUCUUCAGGCUCUCACUUUAUUAGAGGUGUGUAUGAAUAAUUGUGGGAAACGUUUUCACACUGAAGUAGUGAAGUUCAGGUUCCUGAAUGAACUCAUUAAAGUUCUCUCUCCAAAGUAUCUGGGUGUGUUGAGCCCAAAGCAGGUGAAACAGAGGGUGAUUGAGGCUAUGUACAGCUGGACUCAGUGGUUAAAGGAUGAGCCGAAGGUUCAGGAAGCAUACAACAUGCUAAAGAAACAAGGACUAGUGAAGGAAGACCCGACCCUUCCUGACACAGUGGGAAUACCUCCUCCUUCUCCACGACAGGGCGUGUCUGUGUUUGAUAACGAAGACAAAUCAAAGCUGUUGUCACGGUUACUGAAGAGCAGAAGUCCUGAAGACCUGCAGAUGGCUAACGCACUGAUAAAGAGCACACUGCAAGAGGAGCAGGAGAAGACGGAGAAAGAGAACAGACGUGUUAGGACCCUUCAGGAAGUGGAGAAGUGCACAUCUCAACUUAAACAACUCCUGAACCAACAACAACAUACCCAGGAAAUGCAGGAUCUGUAUGAGCGCUGUGACAGACUGAGGUCAAACCUUUUCCGAUUUGCCAGUGACACUGUGGACAACGAUGAGGCUUUAGCUGAGAUCCUGCGCAGGAAUGAUGAGCUCACACAUGUGAUGGUUCUGUACAGAAAGAAAACACAGAGACCCCAAACUGAGACAGACUCGCAGGUGAGUCCUGUGAAGUCGUAUCACCUGAUUGAUUUCUCAGCGUUGGGAGAUGACAGCCAACGGGACCAAGCUGAGCUGAGCACAAGUGUACUGCAGGAUGAAGAAAAGCAGAACAUACAUGGUGAAGAUUCCAGCAGAAACACAAUCAAUGUGAAAUCCUACCUUGAUGAACUGUUACAGUUGGAGGACACGGUAAGCGUUGCCAGGGAGACGAGUCAAAAGGAGACAUCUUACAGGAAUGAAGACUGCAUUACCCACAAUGCAUCAGUAUUAGCAGCAGUGGAUCCAGAGCUGAGGUCCAGAUCAGCUUCCAGUGACAAUCAGCCAACUGCAUCAGCUGGGCUUCCUAAAGCUCACCAUGCUUCGUCCCUCACUGACAUCUCUGUCUCUCUGGACUCUAUUAAGCCAAGUCACAUUAAACCUAUAACAGUGUUUAAUCACCGUGGACUUCAUGUCUCUCUACACUUCACUAAAGAAGUUCUUCCGUCUCACCCUGAUGUUGCCGUCAUCGUCGUCUCUGCGGUUAACACCUCACCACUUCCUGUUUAUGACUUCCUCUUCCUGGCUGCUGUCCCCAAAAAUCACACAGGCAUUCUCCUUCAUCCUGCAAUCAUCAUCAUCAUCAUCACUUUCUCUCUCUUUCUCUCUGUCAGAAUAUGUGUGUGAGGCUGCAGGCAGCUACAGGAGGAACAUUGUCUCCAUACAGCCCUCUGAUGCCCCCUGCUGCCCUCUCUCAGAUACUGCUACUCUACAACCCACUCAGAAAGCCGGUGCGUCUGCGGUUCAGAGUGACUCUAACUCUCGGACAGGAGCAUCUGCAGCAGGAUGGAGAAAUUGAUCAGUUCCCUCAGUGGAACUCUUGGAUUCACCUUUGACCUCAAACCUCUGGACACAUUUUAUUUGUAUAGUGUUUUUAACCGUGGAUAUUUCUCACAGCAUCUUUAUAAAUCACUAUAAACACCGAGA